AGCCCCCUGAGUGAUAGGGACGAUUAUUUAGCCUAAAGCGUCCGUAGCCGGCUUAGUAAGUCUCUCGUUAAAUCUGGCGACUUAAUCGUCCAGGCCGCGGGAGAUACUGCUAAGCUAGAGGGCGGGAGAGGUUGACGGUAUUCCCGGAGUAGGGGUGAAAUCCUAUAAUCCCGGGAGGACCACCAGUGGCGAAGGCGGUCAACUGGAACGCGCCUGACGGUGAUGGACGAAAGCUGGGGGAGCGAACCGGAUUAGAUACCCGUGUAGUCC
rnacentral:rRNA from 1 species